rnacentral:rRNA from 1 species
GGGCUUAACACAUGCAAGUCGAGGGGCAGCAUGGUCUUAGCUUGCUAAGGCCGAUGGCGACCGGCGCACGGGUGAGUAACACGUAUCCAACCUGCCGUCUACUCUUGGACAGCCUUCUGAAAGGAAGAUUAAUACAAGAUGGCAUCAUGAGUCCGCAUGUUCACAUGAUUAAAGGUAUUCCGGUAGACGAUGGGGAUGCGUUCCAUUAGAUAGUAGGCGGGGUAACGGCCCACCUAGUCUUCGAUGGAUAGGGGUUCUGAGAGGAAGGUCCCCCACAUUGGAACUGAGACACGGUCCAAACUCCUACGGGAGGCAGCAGUGAGGAAUAUUGGUCAAUGGGCGAGAGCCUGAACCAGCCAAGUAGCGUGAAGGAUGACUGCCCUAUGGGUUGUAAACUUCUUUUAUAAAGGAAUAAAGUCGGGUAUGGAUACCCGUUUGCAUGUACUUUAUGAAUAAGGAUCGGCUAACUCCGUGCCAGCAGCCGCGGUAAUACGGAGGAUCCGAGCGUUAUCCGGAUUUAUUGGGUUUAAAGGGAGCGUAGAUGGAUGUUUAAGUCAGUUGUGAAAGUUUGCGGCUCAACCGUAAAAUUGCAGUUGAUACUGGAUAUCUUGAGUGCAGUUGAGGCAGGCGGAAUUCGUGGUGUAGCGGUGAAAUGCUUAGAUAUCACGAAGAACUCCGAUUGCGAAGGCAGCCUGCUAAGCUGCAACUGACAUUGAGGCUCGAAAGUGUGGGUAUCAAACAGGAUUAGAUACCCUGGUAGUCCACACGGUAAACGAUGAAUACUCGCUGUUUGCGAUAUACUGCAAGCGGCCAAGCGAAAGCGUUAAGUAUUCCACCUGGGGAGUACGCCGGCAACGGUGAAACUCAAAGGAAUUGACGGGGGCCCGCACAAGCGGAGGAACAUGUGGUUUAAUUCGAUGAUACGCGAGGAACCUUACCCGGGCUUAAAUUGCAGAUGAAUUACGGUGAAAGCCGUAAGCCGCAAGGCAUCUGUGAAGGUGCUGCAUGGUUGUCGUCAGCUCGUGCCGUGAGGUGUCGGCUUAAGUGUCAUAACGAGCGCAACCCUUGUUGUCAGUUACUAACAGGUUCCGCUGAGGACUCUGACAAGACUGCCAUCGUAAGAUGUGAGGAAGGUGGGGAUGACGUCAAAUCAGCACGGCCCUUACGUCCGGGGCUACACACGUGUUACAAUGGGGGGUACAGAGGGCCGCUACCACGCGAGUGGAUGCCAAUCCCCAAAACCUCUCUCAGUUCGGACUGGAGUCUGCAACCCGACUCCACGAAGCUGGAUUCGCUAGUAAUCGCGCAUCAGCCACGGCGCGGUGAAUACGUUCCCGGGCCUUGUACACACCGCCCGUCAAGCCAUGGGAGCCGGGGGUACCUGAAGUGCGUAACCGCGAGGAGCGCCCUAGGGUAAAACUGGUGACUGGGGC